CCUACGGGUGGCAGCAGUGGGGGAUAUUGCACAAUGGGGGAAACCCUGAUGCAGCGCCGCCGCGUGGGUGAAGAAGUAUUUCGGUAUGUAAAGCCCUAUCAGCAGGGAAGAAAGAAGACGGUACCUGACUAAGAAGCCCCGGCUAACUACGUGCCAGCAGCCGCGGUAAUACGUAGGGGGCGAGCGUUAUCCGGAUUCACUGGGUGUAAAGGGAGCGUAGACGGCCGUGCAAGCCAGGAGUGAAAGCCCGGGGCCCAACCCCGGAACUGCUUUUGGAACUGUGCGGCUGGAGUGCGGGAGGGGCAGGCGGAAGUCCUGGUGUAGGGGUGAAAUGCGUAGAUAUCAGGAGGAACACCGACGGCGAAGGCGACCUGCUGGACCGCGACUGACGUUGAGGCUCGAAAGCGUGGGGAGCGAACAGGAUUAGAUACCCCAGUAGUC
rnacentral:rRNA from 1 species